rnacentral:rRNA from 1 species
CUCCUACGGAAGGCAGCAGUAGGGAAUAUUGCGCAAUGGAGGAAACUCUGACGCAGCGACGCCGCGUGGGUGAUGAAGGUUUUCGGAUCGUAAAGCCCUGUCGGAUGGGACGAAAAACGAGUUGGCUAACAUCCAACUCGCUUGACGGUACCACCAAAGGAAGCACCGGCUAACUACGUGCCAGCAGCCGCGGUAAUAC